UACGUAGGGGGCAAGCGUUGUCCGGAAUCAUUGGGCGUAAAGCGCGUGUAGGCGGCUCGGUAAGUCCGCUCUGAAAGCCCACGGCUCAACCGUGGAGGGUCAUUGGAAACUGGGGGACUUGAGUGCAGAAGAGGAAAGCGGAAUUCCACGUGUAGCGGUGAAAUGCGUAGAGAUGUGGAGGAACACCAGUGGCGAAGGCGGCUUUCUGGUCUGUAACUGACGCUGAGGCGCGAAAGCGUGGGGAGCAAACAGG
rnacentral:rRNA from 1 species